ACGACGCUGGCGGCGUGCUUAACACAUGCAAGUCGAACGGUAAGGCCCUUCGGGGUACACGAGUGGCGAACGGGUGAGUAACACGUGGGUGAUCUGCCCUGCACUUCGGGAUAAGCCUGGGAAACUGGGUCUAAUACCGGAUAGGACCAUGGACUUCACGGUUUGUGGUGGAAAGCUUUUGCGGUGUGGGAUGGGCCCGCGGCCUAUCAGCUUGUUGGUGGGGUAAUGGCCUACCAAGGCGACGACGGGUAGCCGGCCUGAGAGGGUGUCCGGCCACACUGGGACUGAGAUACGGCCCAGACUCCUACGGGAGGCAGCAGCGGGGAAUAUUGCACAAUGGGCGCAAGCCUGAUGCAGCGACGCCGCGUGAGGGAUGACGGCCUUCGGGUUGUAAACCUCUUUCAAUAGGGACGAAGCGCAAGUGACGGUACCUAUAGAAGAAGCACCGGCCAACUACGUG
rnacentral:rRNA from 1 species